rnacentral:rRNA from 1 species
CAGAGGGUGCAAGCGUUGCUCGGAAUCAUUGGGCGUAAAGGGCAAGUAGGUGGUCUCAUUUGUCUAGGGUGAAAUCCUUGAGCUUAACUCAAGAAGUGCCCUAGAAACGGUGGGACUAGAGUUCUGGAGAGGGUCGUGGAAUUCCCGGUGUAGCGGUGAAAUGCGUAGAGAUCGGGAGGAACACCAGAGGCGAAGGCGGCGACCUGGACAGACACUGACACUCAACUGCGAAAGCGUGGGGAGCAAACAGGAUUAGAUACCCCGGUAGUCCACGCUGUAAACGAUGGGGACUAGGUUUGAUGGGUCUUGACCCCCGUCGAACCGGCGCUAACGCACUAAGUUCCCCGCCUGGGAAGUACGGUCGCAAGACUA